GGCUGUACCCCACAGGGGUCAGGAGGGAGGUACCCCAUGGCCGGUGGGGAGUUGGUGGGGCUGUACCCACAGCAGGUGGGGGCAGGGGGCUGCACCCCAUGGCCGAUGGGGGGUCAGGAGACUGUACCCUACAGGGGUCAGGGGGGAGGUACCCCAUGGCCAGUGGGGGGUCCAGGGGCUGUACUCUGCAGGGGUCAGGGGGGAGGUACCCCAUGGCCGGUGGGGGGUUGAGUGGGCUGUACUCUGCAGGGGUCGGGGGGGAGGUACCCCAUGGCCGGUGGGGGGUCGGGGGGGAGGUAUCCCAUGGCCAGUGGGGGGUUGGGUGGGCUGUACUCUGCAGGGGUCGGGGGGGAGGUACCCCAUGGCCGGUGGGGGGUCGGGGGGGAGGUAUCCCAUGGCCAGUGGGGGGUUGGGUGGGCUGUACUCUGCAGGGGUCGGGGGGGAGGUAUCCCAUGGCCGGUGGGGGGUUGGGUGGGCUGUACUCUGCAGGGGUCGGGGGGGAGGUACCCCAUGGCCGGUGGGGGGUCGGGGGGGAGGUAUCCCAUGGCCAGUGGGGGGUUGGGUGGGCUGUACUCUGCAGGGGUCGGGGGGGAGGUAUCCCAUGGCCGGUGGGGGGUUGGGUGGGCUGUACUCUGCAGGGGUCGGGGGGCAGAUACCCCAUGGCCGGUGGGGGGUUGGGUGGGCUGUACUCUGCAGGGGUCGGGGGGCAGAUACCCCAUGGCCGGUGGGGGGUUGGGUGGGCUGUACCCCCAGCAGGUGGGGGCGGGGCGCUGCAUUCCAUGGCCAGUGGGGGGCCGGGGGGGCUGCACCCCAUGGCCGAU